AUGACGCUGAAGGCUAAUGCCAGAGUCAUGAUGGCCCUUCAGGAUGCUUGUGGGAUUCCUAAGCUCAACAAGAAAAAUUACAGCGACUGGGUUCAGUAUGCAGAGGCAAUUCUGCGGAAAGAGGGUUUGUUUGAGGUGAUUACAGAAACCCCCAGUUCCAGUUACAGAUGCAUGGGAAGCUAAGGAUUCCAAAGCAAGGGAACUCUUACAUUGAUAGUAUCCCCAGAAGAGCUCUGUCUAUUGCGUGAUAAGACCUCAGCCAGAGAAAUUUGGGACGCUUUGAGAGAGGCUCACUUAAGGACAGAAGCUGGAUCCACUAUGUUUUACUUUAACAAGCUGCACAAUAUGGCUCUUGCUGAAGGUGGAGAUGUGCGUUUACAUCUGAUGGAGAUGCAAAAUCUGAGACAUGAGCUGCAACAGAGAGGACUCAACUUUCCAGAGGCUGUGUAUUCUUUCAUGAUACUACAAUCUUUGGGUUCAGGUUGGGAGUCUGUUGCAACCCAGAUUGCUGUGCAACCAACUGCUCAGCUGACAGUGGACUUUGUUACUGCCGUGAUUUUAAAUGAAGCAGAUCGCCGGGGUGCUAGCUGCAUGGGCAAGGGAGUCUUCACAGACGUCAUCCCAUAGUGCAGUGGAACCACCAGAUGGCGCCAAAGCUUUGAAGGCAGUGAAAUGCUACUCGUGUGGACGUCUAGGCCAUAUGAAGAGGGAAUGCAGACAUCCCAGGGCCAAGACAGAGCAGCGCAGCGAAGCUCAUCGUGCGGAAAAGGCCGAGGCAAGGCAAAGGUCCGGUGUCUAGGACAACGCAGCACAAGGCUAUGGUUUCACGCUUCACUCCAAAGGUUGCAGAGGUCCAGAAGACGUCUAGAUCUUUCUUCGUUGUUGAUUCAGCGGCCACCCACCACAUGUGCAACGAUAAGAGACUGUUUGUGUCUUUUACACCACAGGAAGGUGCGAUUCACCAGGCGGAUGACCACACUAUUCCCAGUAAAGGCUACGGAACUGUUGUUCUUCACAGUCUGGACUUAUCGAUACAGAAUGUGCUUUACGUGCCAGACGCCAAACAUAAUCUGCUCAGCGUUGGACAGCUGAAUGAGCGGAACAUUGACGUUUCCUUCAAGAACAAGAAGUGCAUCAUCACAAAGAAAAAUGAUUAUGUAUUGCAUGCAGAAUAUGUUGAUCAUUUGUUUGUUUUGUAUUAUGAUGAUGUGGUGCAGGAUGACACUUGUUGCAUUGCAGGUUCUAACAAAAGUUUGCAUGCAGAAUGUAUUCACGAUUUUCAUCGAAAAUUUGGUCAUUUGCAUUUUGAGGCAGUAUCUAAAAUGCCUGCCUUGGUUGAAGGUAUGACUAUUAAACCCUGCAAGUACCACAUGAAGUGCAAAGCAUGCGCAGCAAACAAGGUGAAAAUGGCUGCGAAAGGUAAGGUGUCUAGUAGGAAAGCUACAGAACCAUACCAGGUUGUUCAUGCUGAUUUGGUUGGACCACUAGCGCCCUCUUUGGGUGGAAAUAGAUACUUCAUGGUUCUCAUUGAUGCAUUUUCUAGAUAUAUUUUUGUGUACAAUCUCAAGCAGAAAUCGGAGGCUUUUCCUAGGUUCAAGGAAUUCUGUGCUUGGUUGGAAAAUGUGCAUGGUAAGAAGAUAAAGACUCUUUUCAGUGAUCGCGGGGAAAUUCACUUCUCAGCAGUUUGAAGCUUUUCUGACUGAGAAAGGAAUUCAACACGAGUUGUCUAGUCCUCGCUCGCCAUGGCAGAAUGGACUUGCGGAACAGGCAAAUCAAACAUUGCUUCAAGGAUUAAAAACCUUGCUGCAUGAUGCCAAUCUUCCAGAGAGUUAUUGGGCCGAAUCUCUCUCGUGUUUUGUUUACAGUUACAAUCGCAGGUUAUCUUCAGCGAUUGGUUGUACCCCCUAUGAGAAGAUGUUUGGCAAGAAGCCAUACAUCAAACACAUGAAGAUUUUGGUUCUGACAUGUGGGUUCGCUCACCACAAAACUCCAAGUUAGACAAGCGUGGAUUGCAUGGUAUCUUUCUAGGUUAUCAGAAAGGGUCUUACAGAAUAAUGAUGACUGACUCUAAGACAAUUAAGCUCACGAGAAGUGUUGAGUACAAUGCAAAGUGGGGGAGAAUGUGGGAAUUUUCCAAUGUUAUCCUGAUGACGGUGAUGAGACUGAGGAUAGUCAAAGCAACCACAACAGCCCACACCCACUGAUGAAGGUUCUGAGUCUGAAUCUGAAACUGAAUCGGAUGAUUCAGAGGAUUUCGAGAGUGCGAAAGCCUCUAUGCGACCCUCUGAAAGCUCUGAUCAAGAAUUGGAGGAACCAUUGUUCACAAUAGGUCGUUUUCUCCUAAGAAGGAAGAGGAGAGUGUUGAAGACUUAAGGCUAAUUCGUAGGUCACAGAGAGCCACAAAAGGCAAACCUCCAAAGAGAUUUGCUGAUGAGUUUGCUAAGAUAGCAGUAACAGCUGUUAAAAGCUCCAAGAAGGUAUUUGAACCUUCAAGUUUCCAAGAAAUCCAGGGUUUGGAUUCGAAGGAAGCUGAGCCAUGGUUAAAUGCCAUGAAGGCUGAGCUUGAUUCCUUAGAAAGGAACAAAACAUGGGAGCUAGUUCCAGUAGUUCCAGGAAUGAAACUGCUUGGAAGCAAAUGGGUCUUCAAAGCGAAGACAGAUCAAAAUGGCAAGAUAGUCAGACACAAAGCCAGAUUGGUAGCCAGAGGUUUUGCACAGGUACCAGGUCAAGACUAUCACGAGACCUAUUCACCCACAGUGAGAUAUGAAAGCAUUAGGCUUAUGCUCAAGCUAGCUGCAGAGGAAAAUCUACACAUUAGUCACCAUGAUAUUAAUACAGCUUUUCUGUACGGAUCUCUAGAUGAAUCACUUUAUAUGCUUCCACCUGAUGGCGUACAAGUAAAACAGGGAUUUGUUUGUGCUCUGAAGAAAUCCCUUUAUGGUCUCAAACAAAGUGCACGGUGUUGGCACACAAAACUCACUGAAGUAUUGUUUUCUCUAGGUUUUCAGCAAGGAAAGCUGAUCCAUGUGUAUUUGUCAAAGAGGAGGGGCAAAAGAAACUGUACUGUUUGUUUUAUGUUGAUGAUUUAUUAUUCUUUUGGAAAGAUGUAGCAAUGUACAAUAACGCCCUAGCUCAACUGAAAAAGCACUUUGACAUGAAAGAUCUUGGUGAGGUAAACAACUACCUAUCUCUGGAAAUAGAGAGAGAUCAAGAUGGUAACAUUCUAGUACACCAGUCACGGAAAAUUGCUGAUGUGUUAAGCAAACUAAAUCUGAUGGAUGCUAACCCUGUAGACACACCGAUGACAACAGGUUAUCAGGUAGAUGACACUGAAGAAGCAUUUUCUGACACUACACUGUACAGGAGUGUGCUAGGCAAGCUAAACUUCAUUGCCAGAUGUUCAAGACCAGACAUUGCUGUUAGCUGUAAUUUGCUAAGCAGACAAGUCAACAAUCCUAGUGUCAAGCAUUGGAAAGCUCUGAAACGCAUAGCGCGGUAUUUGAAAGGCACUAUGCAUUACAGACUGAGAUUUAACAAUCAGAAGUCUGGUGGUCUUGAGAUAUUUGCAGAUGCAAGUUUUGGAAGUGACGCUACAGACAGGAAAAGUACGUCUGGAGUUUGCUAUACGUACAAUCAGAGUCUGUUUGAUUGGUCAUGCAAGAAGCAAACAACAGUUAGCUUAAGUACUUGUGAAGCCGAACUGAAUGCACUGUCUUAUUCACUUAAGGAUUGUGAAUGGUUAGUACAAUUGUGCAAAGAUAUGAAAAUUCCUGUCAAAUGUCCAAUCCAGGUUUACCAGGACAACAAAGCAUGUUUGGCUUUGCUGAAGUCUGAAGGUUGUGAGCAAAGCACAAAGCACUUGCAAUUAAAGUUGCAGCAUGCUAGGAAUGUAUUCAGAAGGACUCGUAACGGUGUCCUAUAUGCCAGGUAAUGAAAUUCCUGCUGAUGUAUUGUCCAAGAUUGUAUCAAGGGAUCAACACUGUACCUAUGUGCAGAAGUUGGGUUUGUACUGAUAUUGUGCAAACACGCUGCCCAGUGAUGUUCACAGAAAGGGGAGGAUGUUGGUUUCUGCUUUCCUUCACUGUGCAGCUCUGCUUGUCACGAGACAGGUGUUUACAUUCCACAGUCUGUACUGUUGGAGUUUCUCACGGGAAAGGGAGACUGGAUGUGACGUACACUGGUUUCCUGUUUUUCACUGUGUGAUUCUCUCCGAGCUGUUGAGGAGAGAGGAUGCAUUUU
rnacentral:lncRNA from 1 species